rnacentral:rRNA from 1 species
UACGUAGGGGGCGAGCGUUGUCCGGAUUUAUUGGGCGUAAAGAGCUCGUAGGCGGUUCGGCAAGUCGGAUGUGAAAUCUCCAGGCUCAACCUGGAGGGGUCAUUCGAAACUGCCGUGACUAGAGUUCGGUAGAGGAGUGUGGAAUUCCUGGUGGAGCGGUGAAAUGCGCAGAUAUCAGGAGGAACACCGGUGGCGAAGGCGGUUCUCUGGGCCUGUACUGACGCUGAGGAACGAAAGCGUGGGGAGCGAACAGG